AUUAAAAAAAAAAGUAAUGAACUAAUCAAUGGCAAAGAGAGUUCCAACUUUCUGAAAUAAUGUUCUCAAAGACAAAGAGCUUGCUGGCUUUCCAGCUAUUCGAACACAAAAUACCCAAAAAGGAUUGCUUUCUACUGCUCUCAAUGUCUUGGCUCAGGUUCUCUUCUAUUCGAAGAAGGUUUCUCGAUCAUCUGAAGGGGCUUAAUCGCCAUAUCUCCACAUCGGUGGAGGCAGUGAGCGAUGAUGUAAGGUUAAGGGGAACCGCUUAUGCAGGAGUUGUAGAACAGGUAUCUCUUUGCUCCAUAAAUUGGGAGCAGAGGUUAAUGGCAACAUGGUGAAAGAUAUUUCUGGUGAGAAUAAAGCCUCUACCAAUGGCUGGCUCCAUUUCCGAUUGAUGCUGUGAUUGAUGAGGUUGGUGGAUGGUGUCAUGGAGAUGUUAAAACGGGUGGGGUGGUUUGUAGCCAAGAGUCAUUGAAGAUGCAAAUAUUAUUAACGGAUCCAACUUUUCAGCUCAGCCCCUUCAAUUACUAUACGCUCUUCCAAGAUGCUCCUCCAUCCCCAGGAAGAUAUCAUUUUGCUUGUUUGAAGAUGAAUCAAUCUCUGGAUAAUUUGUCCUUGCGGAAAAUCCAGGAAUUUUAGGUUUUGGCAUUGAUGGAGCUUCACUACUCAACAUUAAGAUCACUGAAGACAUUGUUGGUCUAUCUUCUGCACGUUCUUGUACACAUAAGAGACUAAUAUGUAUGCAUCUCAUAACUUUAGAUUCUGCGUAUGAAUUGCCAAUGGAUGGAUCAAUUAGUGUCAGUGCAGUUCCUUCAUGCCAAUGCCUCCAUACCUAUAAGAAUACAUAGUGUAAUCAUUAUAAUAUAUCAAUAAGAAUGUUUAUUUUUUAGCUAGGAAGUACUCAGAUUUAGGAGGAAAUUCUUUUACUUACAUUUCCUAGAAGAUUCAAUUCAUUGUUAUCACUGUAAAACUCUCUAUUCUUUUUUCCGGUUAUAAUCUCUAAUACCAUAACUCCAAAGCUAAAAACAUCAGAUUUUAUUGAGAAGUUUCCGUCCAUAGCAUAUUCAGGAGACAUAUAACCACUGCAGGAUAGAAAUGUGCAUAAAUUAUAAAUGAAGUCACAGUAUCAGUGUUUUCAAAAAGCAUUGGUGAAUUAUCAUGUUAUACUCACUAUGUUCCAAUAAUUCUUAAUGUUUUUGCUUGCAUUUGAUUUUUGUCAAAAAUUCUAGCGAUUCCAAAGUCUGAUAUUUUUGGAUUCAUUUCAUUAUCUAAUAAUAUGUUACUUGUCUUGAGAUCUCUAUGAAUAAUUCGAUAUCUCGAAUCUUGAUGCAAAUAAAGAAGCCCUUUAGCUAUCCCAUAGAUAAUAUUGAAACGUCUUUCCCAAUCAAGCAAGGGUCUUUUCGAUUUGUC